GUCUCCUUCGGGAGGCUAGUAGAGUGGCGCACGGGUGAGUAACACGUAGGUAAUCUACCUUCGGAUGGGGAAUAACAACCGGAAACGGUUGCUAAUACCGCAUAAUGCAGCGGCACCUAAUGGUGACAGUUGUUAAAGCGGGGGAUUGAAAGACCUCGCGUCUGAAGAGGAGCCUGCGGCGGAUUAGCUAGUUGGUAGGGUAACGGCCUACCAAGGCGACGAUCCGUAGCCGGCCUGAGAGGGCGGUCGGCCACACUGACACUGACAUACGGGUCAGACUCCUACGGGAGGCAGCAGUCGGGAAUUUUGGGCAAUGGGCGAAAGCCUGACCCAGCAACGCCGCGUGAAGGAUGAAAUCCCUCGGGAUGUAAACUUCGCAAGAACGGGAAGAAUAAGUAGGGGACAAUACCCCCUAUGAUGACGGUACCGUUUGUAAGCUCCGGCUAACUCCGUGCCAGCAGCCGCGGUAAUACGGGGGGAGCAAGCGUUGUUCGGAUUUACUGGGCGUAAAGGGCGCGUAGGCGGCCAGUGCAAGUCAGUUGUGAAAUCUCCGAGCUUAACUCGGAAAGGUCAACUGAUACUGCUCGGCUAGAGUGCGGAAGGGGCAACUGGAAUUCUUGGUGUAGCGGUGAAAUGCGUAGAUAUCAAGAGGAACACCUGCGGCGAAGGCGGGUUGCUGGGCCGACACUGACGCUGAGGCGCGAAAGCUAGGGGAGCGAACGGGAUUAGAUACCCCGGUAGUCCUAGCCUUAAACGAUGA
rnacentral:rRNA from 1 species